rnacentral:rRNA from 1 species
CUGGCUCAGGAUGAACGCUAGCUACAGGCUUAACACAUGCAAGUCGCGGGGCAGCAUGAUUGUGCUUGCACAGAUGAUGGCGACCGGCGCACGGGUGAGUAACGCGUAUCCAACCUGCCCCAUAGCAGGGAAUAGCCCGGCGAAAGUCGGAUUAAUGCCCUAUGUUGUCCGAGGCGGACAUCUAACUCGGACCAAAGGUACGCCGCUAUGGGAUGGGGAUGCGUAGGAUUAGGCAGGCGGCGGGCGACGGCCCACCGCGCCGACGAUCCUUAGGGGUUCUGAGAGGAAGGUCCCCCACACUGGUACUGAGACACGGACCAGACUCCUACGGGAGGCAGCAGUGAGGAAUAUUGGUCAAUGGUCGGAAGACUGAACCAGACCCAAGUAGCGUGCAGGACGACCGGCCCGUACGGGUUAGUAAACUGUCUUUUACGGCGGGGAAUAAAGGGGGGCACGUGUGCCCCUUUGCAGGUACCGCGUGAAUAAGGACCGGCUAAUUCCGUGCCAGCAGCAGC